CCUCCUGGGUCCGCAGUGGAAACACUGCCCUCUCCCUUCUUGACCCCUAGCCCUUUCUCCCCUCCCUCCUUCCCUCCUGUCGCCGUCUUUUCUGGCGCCGCUGCUCCCAGAGGAGCCUCCGACACGGCGAUGGGUUCUCGGGCCUCCACGUUACUGAGGGACGAAGAGCUCGAGGAGAUCAAGAAGGAGACUGGCUUUUCCCACAGUCAAAUCACUCGCCUCUACAGCCGGUUCACCAGCCUGGACAAAGGAGAGAACGGGACUCUCAGCCGGGAAGAUUUCCAGAGGAUUCCAGAACUUGCCAUCAACCCACUGGGGGACCGGAUCAUCAAUGCCUUCUUUCCAGAGGGAGAGGACCAAGUAAACUUCCGUGGAUUCAUGCGAACUCUGGCUCAUUUCCGCCCCAUUGAGGAUAAUGAAAAGAGCAAAGAUGUGAAUGGACCCGAACCACUCAACAGCCGGAGCAACAAACUGCACUUUGCUUUUCGAUUAUAUGAUUUGGAUAAAGACGACAAGAUCUCCCGUGAUGAGCUGUUACAGGUGCUACGCAUGAUGGUCGGAGUAAAUAUCUCAGAUGAGCAGCUGGGCAGCAUCGCAGACAGGACCAUUCAGGAGGCUGAUCAGGAUGGGGACAGUGCCAUAUCUUUCACAGAAUUUGUUAAGGUUUUGGAGAAGGUGGAUGUAGAACAGAAAAUGAGCAUCCGAUUUCUUCACUAAAGGACGGAGACCAAACUGUUCCUUGAGGUCUAGUAUUUCUUAAGAACUGGAACUUGAAAGUCCUUCUUCCACCAACCCCACCUCUUCCCCCAUCAUUCCCUUUCUCCCUAAGUACUACUGCUGUUGCAUGACAACCCUGAAUAUGUUCUGUCAACACAAAUCUGCCUUUGAUGUUUAAACAGGGCAUUACAGAAUGGUACACCAGUCUAUUUCUGUUCGGUAUUAUUCACUUGUUCUUCAUUUAUAAAUAUCAUCUUCCCCAUUCUGCUGCUGAAUGCCACACAUCCAUCCAGUCUGAGAAAGUGAGAGAGGGACUCAUGCCAAGAACAAGCCAGCAAAGCUCUUUCACUGGAUGUAGACUGUAGCCCUGCUGCCUUCCCUCCAGCGAGCCUGCCAGCAUGCUUCUUUAUCCUUUUUAUAUGGCCUUUGCUUCCUACUUCUGUGUCAUCCAACAUACUGUUCAGUUAGUCUGGCAGUCUUUCUGCUUUUCAUUAAGCCUCGAAAUCUCCUCUGUUUUACUUGGCACCACAAGAUGUGCCCUAUAUAUGUAUUUCUGACUUGGCAGGAUAGUUCAGGGGUCUGGCAGUUUUUAUUUACCUUCAUUAUUAAAUGGACCUCUGGGAUGUUGCCUUUCCAGGAGUUUUUAGUAACCAACACUUCUCUCAGAAGUAUAAGAUCAUCCUCUGCACUCUGCUCUGUCAUCAAAGGGCUGCUGGGCGGAGAUACCCCUUCUUGAAAGGUGGCCUUGGUGAGAGGUGUGGAGUCAAGUCUUCUAGGUUGCUUGCCCACAUCACUCUACCUCUGGCCUCUGAUUUUCAACUUUGUACCUCUGUGGCUCCUCUUGUUAAUGCAGUGUUGACUGAUCAAAAAAUAGCAACACGCCUACAGGUUUGCUUAGUUUGGGGACACCGUUACCAUCAGAAUGGCUGCUCUGACAGUAUGCCUGGGAACUUUCUGAUAGCUUUUUUUAACAAGGAGGCUGGGCACCCUAUACAGCCUCAUGCAUUCACACCUUUGCAGCAUGGUUUGUGCCUCAGUGUUACGUGCACUGGAAUGUUUUUCAUUUCACAUUUCCAAGUAGAAAGAUUAGUGUUAUGAGCCAGGCACGGUGGCUCACGCCUGUAAUCCCAACACUUUGGGAGGCCAAGGAGGGCAUUUCACAGGUCAGGAGUUCAAGACCAGCCUGGCCAACAUCGUGAAACUCCAUCUCUACUAAAAAUAUAAAAUUAGCCGGGCGUGGUGGCAGGCGCCUGUAAUCCAAGCUACUCGGGAGGCUGAGGCAGGAGAAUCACUUGAACUUGGGAGGUGGAGGUUGCAGUGAGCUGAGACCACGCCAUUGCACAAUAGCCUGGGUGACAAAGCAAGACUCCGUCUCAAAAAAUAAAAAUAAAAAAAGAAUGAUUAGUGUUACGGAAGUGCCUAAGUUAUCCUAGUCCAAAAUAUUUAAAGAUUGUUUCCUCAGUGUCUUGAGGUUUUGCACAAAAAUUUUUUUUUUUUUUUAAGACAGAGUCACACUCUAUCGCUUAGGCUGGAGUGCAAUGGCACCAUCUCGGCUUACUGCACCCUCUGCCUCCUGGUUCCAGCAGUUCUCCCACCUCAGCCUCCCAAGUAGCUGGGAUUACAGAUGUGCACCACCACACCCAGCUAAUUUUUGUAUUUUUAGUAGAGAGGGGAUUUCACCAUGUUGGCCACGUUGGUCUUGAACUCCUGAUCUCAGGUGAUCCUCCUGCCUCAGCUUCCCAAAGUGCUGUACAGGCAUGCGCCACCACACUCAGCCACAAAAUUCUUUAUGAAUUUUACACUUGGCAGAUAUUAAUGAUGAAAGCCAUAGUCAGCUCCUAAUACAAGUCCAAAGAAUUGACUAUUGUAUCAUUAGCUGCCUGGUAACAUUAGCUUCCUAGCUCCUUGUAAAGACCACACUAAUCCCUUAAAAACAAGAGGUCUGGCAGUGGUAGCACAACCUAAGGUAGCAUUACAGGUCUUUGAGCAAGCCACAGCAACUUUUCUGCCAAAGUCAGCUUAGUUUAGACUUCAAUGAUUCAGGCUAUUGCCAUCCUAAUGUAUGUGUCUAUGAGUCUGUUUAUCCACACAUCUGCCGUUGGCUGACUCUGACUCAUUGCUUGCUUGCUUCUUUCCUUGCUUUGGAAAACUAUUGAAGAUGUGUACAGAAGUCUUUAGGAAGGGGAUUGCUAAAAAAUACUACUGCAAAGUGAUGGAAAAGGGUGGAGAACAGGGAAGUAGCCAGGCUGGAUGGCUCAAAAUAUAAAUUAAUGAAGAAUUCUUUAUGAAGUAUUAGUCAGACUGUGAUCAAGUGAUGCAAUAUAGGAAUUAUGUAAAAGGGAAGAAUGUCCAAUACUGACCUAUUAGAGAGGUACUUCACAGGCUCCUUGAUUUGCAUAUCUAAAGUUCCUAAGGUUAUAGCUUUUCCCCCCUUUUGGCUGUGCAGUAAACUUUUAAUCCACAGUUGUGCCUUAUUGUUCCAUUAAAAUUGUAUCUUCGAUCCAUCAAUAAAUACUUGUGGUUGAAACAAAAUAACCUGGUUGAUUUUGUCUAUUUUACAAGAAUUUUAUGUAACUUAGUCCCUUCUUCAAGUUUGAAAUCACAAUGUCUCUCUUACUCAAGUUUGUCUGUACUGUCAGCUGCAGUCUACUUUGCUGCCUGGACAUAUGAAGUGAAAACAUUCUUCUACAGGCCAGCACUCUCAGCCUUUAGACACGGUUUUGUCAGCCAUGGCCACUUCCCAUUCAUUCCAGGUAAGAUGCAAUUUCUGUUGACUCCCUGAUUCUUUAAAGAUAGAAAAAGCCGGCCGGGCGCGGUGGCUCACGCCUGUAAUCCAGCACUUUGGGAGGCCGAGGCGGGUGGAUCACAAGGUCAACAGAUCGAGACCAUCCUGGUCAACAUGGUGAAACCCCGUCUCUACUAAAAAUACAAAAAAUUAGCUGGGCAUGGUGGCGCGUGCCUGUAAUCCCAGCUACUCAGGAGGCUGAGGCAGGAGAAUUGCCUGAACCCAGGAGGCAGAGGUUGCGGUGAGCCGAGAUCGCGCCAUUGCACUCCAGCCUGGGUAACGAGUAAAACUCUGUCUCAAAAAAAAUUAAAAAAAUAAAGAUAGAAAAAGCCUAAAAAUGCAGUAUCUGUCUAUUCCUUGUUAUUCAGUUGCCCACCUCUUCCUUCAUGUGCAGCCUCAGUGGUGAUAUACUUUGCUUUUACAUGGCUUUUCACAUUUUCAUUUCUUUUUUGAGACUGUCUCACUUUGUUGCCCAAGCUGGAGGGCAGUGGUGUGAUCUCAACUCAUUGGAACCUCCACCUCCCAGGUUCAAGGGAUUCUCCUGCCUCAGCCUCCCAAGAUGAUGGGAUUACAGGUGUGUGCCACCACACCCAGCUAAUUUUUAGUUUUGUUUUGUUUUCUUUGAGAAAGAGUCUCACUUUGUUGCCCAGGCUCGAGUGCAAUGGCAUGGUCUUGACUCAGUGCAACCUCUGCCUCUUGGUUCAAGCCAUUCUCCUGUCUCAGCCUCCCACGUAGCUGGGAUUACAGGUACCCACCACCAUGCUCGGCUAAUUCUUGUAGUUUUAGUAGAGAUGGGGUUUUACUGUGUUGGCCAGGUUGGUCUUGAACUCCUGACCUCAGGCAACAUGCCCGCCUCAGCCUCCCAAAGUGCUGGGAUUACAGGCGUGCACCACUGCAUCUGGCCAUGGCCUAUUGUUUCUAAUUUUAUCUGUUAUAAAAUAUUGAUGUAAUGAAUCUCUGCAUAAAACUUUUUACUUUGAAAAAUUUUACAAGGGUGGAAUUACUAGGUCAAAGUUCAAGCAUAUACUUACAUUGUUUGCUACAUUUAUUAUGCUCCUUUAUCUUUGGUGUUCUAUUUAGGACAUCUUUAUCGUCACUUGUUUUUCCAAAUUGAUUUUAGAAUCAUUUUGUCAGUUGCAUUUAAAAUGUUAUUAGGCUCACGCUUCUAAUCCCAGCACUUAUGGUGGCUGAGGUGGACAGAUCACUUGAGGCCAGGAGUUCAAGACCAGCUUACCCAACAUGGCGAAACCCCUUGUCUACCAUAAAUGCAAAAAUUAGCUGGGUGUCGUGGUUGGCGCCUGUAAUCCCAGCUGCUCCAGAGGCUGAGACAGGAGAAUCGCCUGAACCCGGGAGGUAGGGGUUGCAGUGAGCCGAGACUGUGCCACUGUAUUCCAGCCUAGGCAACAAAGCAAGACUCUAUCUCCAAACACACACACACAUUAUUAGAAUAGAUUGUGUUAAUUGGGAUUUGGAACAAUUAUUACUGCAGAGAUGCCUUAAAAGAGGACUACCUUGCUCUUUCAUUGGGGCCGCCAACAUACCAUCCAGACUGAGGAAGACCCAGAAACUUCAGGGCUACGUUUGCCAUGGCUGCAUCUGUAAGCACUGGAAGCACCCCAGAGGCUGUGGUAAAUGCUGGUGAUCUGCAUCACCACAGGACCAGCUUCAACAAAUACCGCCCAGGUUCCUUUGGUAAAGUUGGUAUGAGGCAUUACUUCUUGACGGAGGAACCAGACUUCUGCCCAGCUGUCAACCCUGACAAAUUUUGGACUUUGGUCAGGUAGCAGACACGGGUGAAUGCUGCUAAAAACAAGACUGGGGCUGCUCCCAUCACUGAUGUGGUGCGAUCUGGCUACACAAAGUUCUUGGAAAGGGAAAGCUCACAAAGCAGCUUGUCAUCUGAAGGCUAAAUUCUUGAAUAGAAGAGCUGAGAAGAUUAAGGGUGUGGGGUAGAGGGGACGGUGUCCUGAGGGCGUGAGGCCGCAUGGAGGGAGACGGAUUUUCUUAUACUACAAACUAGGUGUGGUCACCUACGCCUGGCCAGGAAUCUAUAUUGCUACCAAUCGACCAGGUGACAGCCCUCUUGGUGUCCGGGAAGCACGGAGGACCUACACCGCCUACGCCAGGCCCCGCUUGUCAUAACCCCGAUGAAGAGCCACCCCAUAUACAUACCCUCCCUGCCCCUCUUGGAAACGUUGCAGAAGAAAGGAUGUCCUACAGUUGGGUGUAGCAAACAACAAAAUUCCCAGUCAUAACAGGUUACCUCUUUGUAGAAGGGCUCUCAGAAAAGUGACGCGUCCUUCUCUCCUGUAUUGAUCAAAGCUGUAAACAGCAGGACAUUUGGGCCCUUUAAGAGUCUAAAUGAGUCCCACUCAGAGAUAAACUGAAACCAUUAAAUGUUUUGCCUAGUUGUUGUGCUAUCCCAGAAUUAAAAGCUGUGGGGUUGGGCGCGGCGGCUCACGCCUGUAAUCCCGGCACUUAUCACCUGAGGUCAGGACUCCUGACCACAAUGGUGAAACCCCGUCUCUAAUAAAAAUACAAAAAUUAGCCAGACAUGAUGACCUGUGCCUGUAAUCCAGCUACUCGGGAGGCUGAGUCAGGAGAAUCAUUUAAACCCGGGAGGCGUAGGUUGCAGUGAGUCAAGAUAACGCCACUGCACUCCACCCUGUGCCACAGAGCAAGACUGUCUCAAAAAAAAAAAAAAAAAAAAGCCCUCGGGCCUGAAAAAUUAUUAGUCCUACAGUUUAACCUAACAGUGGAUUAAAAUAGUCACGUGGCCUGGCCACACUAUCUUACCAAGUGGCACAGCUUUUACGCGGAAAUUUUACAGUCUUAAUAGAUGAAUUGCAAAAGCAUUUUUCCCUGUUACAUCAAUUCCGGGACCCAAUCCGACAGAAAAGGGAUGGAAGGAGUGUGGCGAGUGCUAUUGAUUGACGUGCAUUCGAACCAACCUACAACGCAUGAAGAACGCGCGUGCGUGUGUGAGCAAGCCCGUGUCCAAUCACUACUCAACGGCAGUGGCGGGGGUGGGGCUUGUGGAAACGGCCCGCCGCAGGGUUGGCAGUCUUGAGAAGCAGCGAAUAUGGCGGAGUGAGGCGUUCCCCUGUGAACUGGCCUCUGGGCCGGGGGCAGGCCAGUCCGGCCAGCCCCCGGGAGGCCGAGUGCAUCUGUUGGACCGUGCGAGGAGAAGAAAAAAAGAGAUCGGCCAGAGGAAAGGAACCGAACAUUCUUCCUUGCCUGCCUUACCAAGGGGAGUGGUCACCUACACUAAAGCAAAGGUCUAAAUAGAGGUCUAUAAACUACUGGAAAUUUUAUGCACAAUUACAAAUUUUUGUGGGAAGAAGAAGGUCCAUAGCUUCAGAUUCUCGAAAAGGACGGUGUUCCAGUAAAACUUGAGAAUCAGUGCUUCAAGACUUGACAUCUUUUUAAAAAUAAUGCCAAUGCAGAUUCCUUAUCACAGGAAGAACAUUUUCCUUGACAUUUGGGUGCUUUUAUAUUCAUCUUAAGAACAAAAUUCUGAACUCAGGACUUGGCAAAUAGUCUUGCUCUGUCACCCAGACUGGAGUGCAGUGGCACCAUCUCGGCUCACUGCAACCUCUGCCUCUUUAGUUCAAGCGAUUCUUGUGCCACAGCCUCCCGAGUAGCCAGGAUUACAGGUGUCUCUACGUUGUCUCCUGGAGUGUGUAGUUCUACUUCUUUUACCCAGUUACUUUCCCUACUCUUAAAAUGUGGAUGUCACUUCUCUAUACCUUACCUCCAUGAUUUGGAAUGAAAAAGUCCACCUUUUUUUUGUUCUGCCUCUCAGACUGAACACAGAGGAGCUCCUAGGAUUCCAGUUAUCUUGCCAACUUCACGAAGAAAGAAGCAACUCGCAUAGGUUUUCUGCGGUUUGCUUAAUUAUAAAGACAUCGUUUUGCAAGCUGAAGUCUGAGUUUCAUCUGAAACAGGUGCUUAGGUGGUGGUAUUUGUGAAUACUUUUCGUUAUGAACCAGAAGACUAAAUAAAUAGCAAGUAUGGAUGACUUCAGGGUUUAAAAACAAAAAUGUCUUCCAGUUUCAGCCACUAUCCUGAUAAGCACAGUUGAGACUGCAGCAGUAAAUUCCAAAUAUGCAUUUCUAAUUUGACAUGAAAAAUAGUAAAAAAUUACAUAUAUUUAUUUAUUUAAAUCUUGGCUCAUCCUGUGACAUAGAUUUACUGAAUAAGAACAAAGGCGCAAUUUUAUACAAAAGCCGGGGCCAAGCACGGUGGCUUAUGCCUGUAAUCCCAGUACAUUGGGAGGCAGAGGCAGGCGGAUCACCUGAGGUUGGGAGUUCAAGACCAGCCUGACCAACAUGGAGAAACCUCAUCUUUACUAAAAAUACAAAAUUAGCCAGGCAUGGUGGCGUAUGCCUGUAAUCCCAGCUACUCCGGAGGUUGAGGCAGGAGAAUUGCUUGAACCUGGGAGGUGGAUGGAGGUUGCAGUGAGCCGAGAUUGUGCCACUGCACUCCAGCCUGGGCAACAGAGUGAGACUAUCUCAAAAAAAUGAAGAAAAAAAAACAACUUUGGACACAGAGGAGUCGGGGUGGGAUGGGAGGUUGAGAGAAUUUUUCAUAUAACUCCUUUUCCCUAAGAAAAGCAAAAAUGCCUCAUGCAGUGACAUCUGACUUUAUGGUGUUUCAUAUUAUAUAUUCACUGUUUUCCUGCAACCCAAGGUGGAUACUUGGAUGUCAUUUCUUUUAUUUAUUUAUUUUAUUUAUUUAUUUUUUUGAGGCAGUCUCACUCUUUUGCCGAGCCUAGAGCCAGUCUCUGCUGCCCAGAUUCAAGUGAUUCUCCUGCCUCAGCCUCCCAAGUAGCUGGGAUUACAGGCGCCCACCACCAUGUCCGGUCUGAUUUCUUACUCAAGAUACUAGGUGUAGUGUUAGGCUCAAAAGGCUGGGACUCAGGUACUUUUCCUGGUUGGGACUGAACUUUCUCAUGAGAGAAUGCAUGGGCCUCAGAAGCAAUGUUCCCAAACUUGUAAUUGGAUCAUUGUAGAUUCAGGAUGUUGAAAAGAUACCUUGAACAAGAAAAAUAGUUACAAUAAGAAAUGGAUUUUCUUUUUUUUUACCAUAAUAGUUAUUCAUUAUAAAGAACAGACUCUCAUAGAAAACUGUCCUUGCUUCCAAAUCAGCUGAGAACCAUUGUAUGUACUGUCAUGUCUUUACAUAAGAGUGAAACCUUUAUUUAUGCUUCUUUGUGAGUAGAGAAUAAAUUUUAAAACUAAUUAGUUCAAAUUAAGGACAGAUAGUAUUGGAACAUCUGUGUGUUUUCCAGAAUGUUUACUCAGGGCCAUGAAUGCUGUGAUGCUGGGACUUAGGGCAGAGUCACCAAAAUUUGAGAGUGAUAGAAAUGGCCCAAAAUGGGAAAUUACUGAGAUUGGUCAAUCAACCCAUUUGAAAUGGGUAAAAAAUACUUUUAGUGAAAUAAUUACACAUUAUAUGUAAAAUAUAAUUUCUUUUUUUGAGGGCAGCUACAAGUGAUAAAGCGUAGUAGAAAUAACUUUAGUUAAAAGUAACUCAGAUUUUUCUCUAAGUAAUCUACCUACUUCCUGAUGUUCUUAAUAUUUUAGAAUUGUUCAAGACAGUGGAGCCUACAUGUUUGGGUUCUACUGAUAUGUUUAAAAUGUCAUAUCAUAGAGAAUUUGUACCUUCCAGUUGUCUGUUACUUGUCUUCUCUGUGUACUUUGGCAUCUUUUUGGGUAGGAUCAUUUGGCAGGGGGUAGAGUACCUGUACUUUUGACACCAUUGAAAGCAGCUCUGGCCCACUUGUUUGGAUAGAUAUCAGACUCGCGUCUCCAUAUGCUUUAUAUUUUUUCAUUUCACAAUUGAGAGAACCAGCAUUUAAUGCUUUUUGAAAUUGUUUCUGUAUCUACCAUGGUUCAGACCAGGUGCAUUUAACAAAAUGGAUAUAUUCCAGCUGUAGUUGCCCAGUGUUUACUUAACACAUCUACAUUUUUUUCUUGUCAAUUUUUGUCCCCUUGAUAGGAAAAGCUAUAAUUUAGGCGGGACUAUGCGUUGAUUUGCAGCCAUGCUUCCUUCCUUUCCCUUGCUUAUCCAUGUUAGCUGGCAGUUUUUCUUUUGAAAAACGGGACAUGUGCAAUAGAAAUAUAUAUAUAUAUGUAUAUUUUAAUACUUGUGGACAAAUGUUACAAGUUGUUUGAGAACAACAAAAUCACCAAUGUCUUCCAUUUUGAGAUGUGUAUAGUUUUGUAAGCAUUAGUGCUUGGUAGCAUAUUGUAGUGCCAUGUUAGGGGUUAGUGCAUGAGCCUAGUAAUUUUAAAAUUCAGGGGGAAUUAUUGAUAAUAACAAAUAAUGUAAAAAGAGUGGAAAUCUGAACCUUUUCUUUUUUCAUAAUGUCUAAAUCUGUUAUAUUUUCCCUGGGGAAAAGAGAUUAAGGCCUAAAAGAUUCAUUUAUGAAUAGAAAUAUAGGGUCAAAAUCUGAGAUACUAUGUUUGAGGACAUUUCAGCUUUCCAUAAGCAAUCUGGAAACCAGCUGCCUUUAUGUCUUACGAAACCUCAAGUCAAAAUGAGACCCCAUUUCAUUAUUCUACUUUGAUUUUUUUUUUUUGAGACAGAGUCUCACUCUGGCCCAGGCUGGAGUGCAGUGGUACAAUCUUGGCUAACUGCAACCUCCACCUCUUGAGUGGCUGGAACUACAGGCACGCGCCACCAUACCCAGCUAAUUUUUGUAUUUUUAGUAGAGACGGGGUUUUGUCAUGUUGGCCCCGCCCGUCUCAAACUCGUGACCUCAAGUGAUUCGGCCUGCCUUGUCCUCCCAAAGUGCUGGGAUUACAGGCAUGAGCCACCACACCCGGCCUGCUCUUGAACUGUCUUUGCAUGGCAUGUAUUUUAGGUUCAUUAUUUUCCUACUCCUUGUGUGUCAAGAAAUUAUAUUUUGUAUGUCUUAUGGAGAUGCUGUGUUAAUUGCUUUAGUGAGUGCUUUUCUAAUCUGCAGACCAUUUACAUUUCCUCUUUGUAGCAUGCUCUGUGUAAACACUCAGUAAUUUGGAGUAUUCAGUUAUUUGUUAUGGGCUCUUCCUAUUUCCAAAUCUGCUGAAUUGUCUAUUGAUGGGAUUUCAGACUUUUUCAUGAGAACUGGAAAUGUAGCUGGGUGAUGCUUACCUAGGUUGCUAUGUAACAGGUAGACUCUUUUCCUUGGUUAUAGUAAGCCUCAGACAGCUUUCACUUUUAUCUACUUUACUUGUGGAAAUAAAACUGUUGGUUUAUUCUGAAAGCUAUCUUCUGAAAGAUAAGAAUACGGUAACUUUCUGAAAGAAUAAGAUAGCUUUCUUAGGGAAGUAAUUCCUACCUGUAAAAGCUGCCUUGAGAACUCAGAGUGGCAGUUUUCUGAGGUGAUUUUUAAAUUUCAGUAUUAGGAAGCGUCCAUCAUUUGCUGACAGAUUCUACAUAACUAUUGUAUGAUAACAAAUGCAAAACUAUUAUAAUGUGGUAUAUCUUGUGCAUACAAAGGUUAGAACAAGUAGAUUCUGGCAGCAGAUCUCCAGAGACCCAAGUUUAGAUUCUCAUAGUGUAUGCGAAGUAGUUAUAUUCUUGGCUUGAAUAGUUUAGUGCCUGGGACAAUCUAUUACUGAAAAGCAAUUAUUAAAAAAAAAAAAACUGAAAAGGUAAUGAAUGCAGAAUAGCACAGCAUAUAGGAAAGGAUAUUUCCUGUUGCAAAAAAAAAAAAAAAGCCAUAAAAUGAAUAGUAAAUUUCAAGAGAUAGAAUUGUAGUAGCAAUAACAGUUUUUGCAUGUAUAGUAAUUUGCAUUAGCAAGGUUGUAUGAUAGAAUAUGUGAUACUACUUGAGUUUGUGGGGCUCUGAAAUCAACAGUUGCACAAAAGGAAAAAAUGUUCUGGAUAAAGAGCAUAUAAAAGGUACUUUUAGAACAGUAUGAAUGUAUAUGAAUUUAUCUUUGUGUGAGAAAUGUCAGCUUUUGUGUAAGUUAAAGGUUAAAGACCCUAUUUGUUUCCUAAUUCAGAGGGUUAGAGCCGUUGAAAUUAAACCUUUAUAGUGCUUAACCUGAAAACAAAUGUACUACAGCCCCACUGAAGCAGCUGUGUGGGUUUUUUCCUUAAGAGGUUUUAGCAACAGGCAUUUAUUCUGUAGAGUGGUAUACUUUCUGCUUUGUCUCAUCUUUCUCCAUUGGUUUCCUGGGUACGUUUUUUAAAGGGAGAGAAGUUCCUGAGUUUAAUGUUUAAAAUAAAACUCCCACAAACAUAGAUAAGCUGGAUUUCUCUCAUGAUUAGGGAAUAAGGAUUUAAAGAUGAAAGGCAGAAGGAUUGAAGGGAAUAGCCAUUGAAUAUUUGGGUGGGUAGGGUGUAAAACCUUUUCUAAUGUGGAUAUGGCCUAUGGCCUGUGACUGCUUAUUUAUCAAGGAGAACCCAGUAAACUAGUUUCUUGCUUGAUCUGAGGAACCACACAGCUCGCAUCAGGAUAUAAUAGUGGAACUAGGGUGACUUCACUCCCUUUUACCUGAUGUCUAAUCCUGGCCUUUUAGCACUUUGACUAUCCCUGAAAAGACUGGGUCUACAUUUCCUUGUUUUCCCAGGGAAAAAACUGAAAGAUAAGUGAUGUAGAUCUAGGAAUAGUGCCUCUUAAUUCUUACAUGACAACUAAUGCAUAGGGAAAAGGCUAUGUUGAUUGUAGAUCCACUUUAGUGUCUUAGAGACAUUGGAAUAACUAAGCAAUAUUCAGAUAUCUGCACAUCUGGGGACAGUGUUAUCUAUUACAAUGAUGUCAACAGUUCAGUUACUUGGAACAAUUAAAGAUUACCCUUAACAGCCAUGUUAAUAAUUCUAAAUGCUAAAAUACACUACAAGCUUUCAGUCUUGAAAGUUUGCUGUUAUUUUAAAAAGUUGUUGUGGUCUCAUGUUUACUCUUCGUGUAUCUGUGAUAUGCAAAAAGAAGAGACUCUUGGCCUCCAGGUGUUUACAUUCUCAUGGUGCUGUUGGUGCAAGCAAAUUGCUUCGUUUAUUAAUAAACUAAUUGGCUAUUGAUUAUAUCCUAUUUGGAAGAAUCCCUUGGUGAACAGUUUUAAAAAGCAGAGAGCUGUGUUAAAUUUCAGGGCAUUGAUGCUUGAGUUUACAUUGUAUUAGCCUUGCUCGUUAUCAUUUUUUCCCCAGGGAGCUAUGCAGGUAAUGCUCAUUAGUGUGAAUUAGAACAGAAAGCACCUGUGCUGUCCUGUUACAGUUGUCAGUAAUGGCUAAGAAAAUUUAUAGCUCUUUAAGACUGUUUUUAUAUAAUUCUCUACUCAGAAGGGCCAGGAUUUGCAUAUAAGCCUUUUAAAACUGAUUAGUGGUCCUAAUUUUAACAUUUUUGUGUACGACUCCUCUGUCUCUGUUCUGAAGCAGCAUUGUGAUAGAAGUGGAGCAUCUACCUGCAUUUCUAAGCAAUUAUUAACCCAACUUUUGAGUUGAAACUUGUUGUAUGGAUCCUUGUUAUUUCCCAUAAUUCCUCUGAAUCAAGGAGUUUAUUUUGCAUGCUUAUUAAACUAAAACUGAGCCUGAUUCAAAGUGCAAGCAAUAGUGGCAGGCCCAUAACUCUGCUUUUAGAGUAUGAACAUUCUAAUGCAUGACUGAAAAUGUCCAGUGUUGUGGUUACUAGUAGUUUUAUAUAUGCAUUUAUUAACAAUGAAGCAAUAGAGACUAAAACCAAUAGCUUGAAUUUAUUCCGAUUGUUUUCAUUUUUUUUUUAUAAAGGAUUUUUCUUCCAUUGAAAAUGGGAAGAUAAACAGGGGCAACCAUAAGACAUUCAGACUGUCAGGACUAGGGCAUAACAGUGCCCACCCUCUAACCUCUUGCCUGGUUCCAUUAGUCAGUCCCCAAGCAUGUUUGAAAACAAAAGACACAAACUAAGCAUGUUGAAUAAAUUAGCUGUUAUGGCUAUAAUAAUCAGAAAGGUGCAGAGUUUCACAAAGAGUAGGAAUGUAGGGAAUGCUAGUAUGGAGUAUGUAAAAUAACUAGAUGUGGAUAUGGAGUUCGUUUAUGAUAUUUAUAAACUAAAAAUCCCAGAUGUUUAUACAUGUUUAUACAUCUGGGAUUUGAGUUGAAUAUAAUCAGUGUGCGCAAGAAACAAAAUACCCCUGACACCCUGCAACAAGGGAGACUUCCCUUUAUCUGUGGUUUAGUUUCUGUUAUUGUAUUGCAUACAGAAUAGUUUAAACAAAUUUUAUAGCCAAAGUUCUAACCUUGAUGGGUUUGGUCAGACUACAAUUCCUUGAUUUUUUUUUUUUUUUUUUUUUUGAGACGGAGUUUCGCUCUUGUUACCCAGACAGACUGGAGUGCAAUGGCACAAUCUCGACUCACUGCAACCUCCGCCUCCUAGGUUCAAGCAAUUGUCCUGCCUUAGCCUCCCGAGUAGCUGAAACUACAGGCGUGCACCACCACGCCCAGUUAAUUUUUGUAUUUUUAGUAGAGACGGGGUUUCACCAUGUUGACCAGGACGGUCUCAAUCUCUUGACCUCGUGAUGCACCCGCCUCAGACUCCCAAAGUGCUGGGAUUAUAGGCAUGAGCCACUGUGCCCGGCUUACAAUUCCUUGAUUAAAGCUUUUGAUGCCAGGUUAAACAGGAGAAACCUUUUCCACUUUAAAAGAAGAAAAUCCUUGCCAUUUAUUUGACGAAUAAACAUAUUUAUUGCAGUAGCUUAAAAUUUUUCUUUUCCUUUUAUUUUUUUAAACAGUCUCACUCUGUUGCCCAGGCUGGAGUGCAGCAAUGUGAUCUCGGCUCACUGCAACCUCCACCUCCCUAGUAGCUGAGUUUACAGACUUGCACCACUACCCCCAGCUAAUUUUUGUGUUUUUAGUAGAGACGGGGUUUCACCAUGUUGGCCACGCUGGUCUCAAACUCCUGGCCUUAUGUGAUCUGCCCCCUCAGCCUCACAAAGCGCUGGUACUGCAGGUAUGAGCCACUGCACCUGGCUUGUAGUAGCUUAAAAUUUUCCUUGAGAAAAUUCCUGACUUUGAAAAUAACCCUUAUAUAAAUACAAAUGAUAUGACAAAUAACAUACAAAUGGCAUUCAUGAUGUCUGAAAGAAGCCUCAAUAGAAUUCAAGAUAGACUAAAUGAUUUUCACUAGGCACAUUCAAGGUUUUACAUUCUGAUUGAAAUUUUUUUUUAAACAUUUUUAUUUCACAUUCUUUCCUGUGUGAUUUUGUUACAAAUACCUUUGGGAAUAAAUAAAGUAGAAUGAUAACUUUUCAGUGCUUCAGAAUUGAAUGAGACUUCUUAUCAUUGCGAUGUUUGGUUUCCAUUCAAAUAUAUUGAGAUGUCAUAUCUGGAAUAUAGUUUCUCCUCCCCAAUUGCUGACAGCAUGUCUGUCAGCCAUUAAAGAUUAAGAACAGUUUCCCAAACUUCCUCUGAUUAUUCCACUAAAGCACAUUAAAAUACUUAGUUUUGGAAAACCAAACAUCACAGAUUUCUUGUGAACUCCUAAAUCUUUGAAGUCAGAAUAGAUAUCUGUUACUGACAGUUUUUAGGUUUUUUUUCUCCGUUGGUGAUAUGUCAUUACAUAAUUGAAAAAAUAUUUUUCUCCUAGGGGUAAGAAAGGUAUUCUGGCAAUAUAUUAUCAUCAAUCCUUAAACAGUAACAGUCUUGGCAUUUUUCUUAAAACCACUAAUUUCUUAUAACCAGAAAGAUUAUCCUAGACUGUCCUUCACAUUAGACUUUACUUACUGCCUUGUAGAAUGAGUUGCUCACUGUGUUUACAUGCUGUCCUGCAUAUUCCCUAUUGCACCAUUGGUGUAUAAUGUUAAAAAGAAUUUCAUUUAAUAUUAUUCAAAGUAUUACAAAAGGCAGCUUGAUUUCAAUCUAUGCAUCUUUGGGGUUUUUGAAGAAGAAAUGUAAUUCUUUGAUGUAAAAAGGAACUGUUAAAAGCUGGAAACUCUGCACCUGUGUAUAUAUAUUUUUUAGCAAUAAAGCAGCAUGAGCUGAGAAUGCACUGAAAUCUA